GUGGGGAAUAUUGGACAAUGGGCGAAAGCCUGAUCCAGCCAUGCCGCAUGAGUGAUGAAGGCCUUAGGGUUGUAAAGCUCUUUCAGUAGGGAAGAUAAUGACGGUACCUACAGAAGAAGCCCCGGCUAACUUCGUGCCAGCAGCCGCGGUAAUACGAAGGGGGCUAGCGUUGUUCGGAUUUACUGGGCGUAAAGCGCACGUAGGCGGAUUGGUCAGUUAGAGGUGAAAUCCUGGAGCUCAACUCCAGAACUGCCUUUAAUACUGCCAGUCUAGAGUCCAGAAGAGGUGAGUGGAACUCCUAGUGUAGAGGUGGAAUUCGUAGAUAUUAGGAAGAACACCAGUGGCGAAGGCGGCUCACUGGUCUGGUACUGACGCUGAGGUGCAAAAGCGUGGGGAGCAAACAGGAUUAGAAACCCCGGUAGUCC
rnacentral:rRNA from 1 species